rnacentral:rRNA from 1 species
UAAUGGGUCAGCGACUUAUAUUCUGUAGCAAGGUUAACCGAAUAGGGGAGCCGAAGGGAAACCGAGUCUUAACUGGGCGUUAAGUUGCAGGGUAUAGACCCGAAACCCGGUGAUCUAGCCAUGGGCAGGUUGAAGGUUGGGUAACACUAACUGGAGGACCGAACCGACUAAUGUUGAAAAAUUAGCGGAUGACUUGUGGCUGGGGGUGAAAGGCCAAUCAAACCGGGAGAUAGCUGGUUCUCCCCGAAAGCUAUUUAGGUAGCGCCUCGUGAAUUCAUCUCCGGGGGUAGAGCACUGUUUCGGCAAGGGGGUCAUCCCGACUUACCAACCCGAUGCAAACUGCGAAUACCGGAGAAUGUUAUCACGGGAGACACACGGCGGGUGCUAACGUCCGUCGUGAAGAGGGAAACAACCCAGACCGCCAGCUAAGGUCCCAAAGUCAUGGUUAAGUGGGAAACGAUGUGGGAAGGCCCAGACAGCCAGGAUGUUGGCUUAGAAGCAGCCAUCAUUUAAAGAAAGCGUAAUAGCUCACUGGUCGAGUCGGCCUGCGCGGAAGAUGUAACGGGGCUAAACCAUGCACCGAAGCUGCGGCAGCGACACUAUGUGUUGUUGGGUAGGGGAGCGUUCUGUAAGCCUGUGAAGGUGUGCUGUGAGGCAUGCUGGAGGUAUCAGAAGUGCGAAUGCUGACAUAAGUAACGAUAAAGCGGGUGAAAAGCCCGCUCGCCGGAAGACCAAGGGUUCCUGUCCAACGUUAAUCGGGGCAGGGUGAGUCGACCCCUAAGGCGAGGCCGAAAGGCGUAGUCGAUGGGAAACAGGUUAAUAUUCCUGUACUUGGUGUUACUGCGAAGGGGGGACGGAGAAGGCUAUGUUGGCCGGGCGACGGUUGUCCCGGUUUAAGCGUGUAGGCUGGUUUUCCAGGCAAAUCCGGAAAAUCAAGGCUGAGGCGUGAUGACGAGGCACUACGGUGCUGAAGCAACAAAUGCCCUGCUUCCAGGAAAAGCCUCUAAGCAUCAGGUAACAUCAAAUCGUACCCCAAACCGACACAGGUGGUCAGGUAGAGAAUACCAAGGCGCUUGAGAGAACUCGGGUGAAGGAACUAGGCAAAAUGGUGCCGUAACUUCGGGAGAAGGCACGCUGAUAUGUAGGUGAAGUCCCUCGCGGAUGGAGCUGAAAUCAGUCGAAGAUACCAGCUGGCUGCAACUGUUUAUUAAAAACACAGCACUGUGCAAACACGAAAGUGGACGUAUACGGUGUGACGCCUGCCCGGUGCCGGAAGGUUAAUUGAUGGGGUCAGCGCAAGCGAAGCUCUUGAUCGAAGCCCCGGUAAACGGCGGCCGUAACUAUAACGGUCCUAAGGUAGCGAAAUUCCUUGUCGGGUAAGUUCCGACCUGCACGAAUGGCGUAAUGAUGGCCAGGCUGUCUCCACCCGAGACUCAGUGAAAUUGAACUCGCUGUGAAGAUGCAGUGUACCCGCGGCAAGACGGAAAGACCCCGUGAACCUUUACUAUAGCUUGACACUGAACAUUGAGCCUUGAUGUGUAGGAUAGGUGGGAGGCUUUGAAGUGUGGACGCCAGUCUGCAUGGAGCCGACCUUGAAAUACCACCCUUUAAUGUUUGAUGUUCUAACGUGGACCCGUGAUCCGGGUUGCGGACAGUGUCUGGUGGGUAGUUUGACUGGGGCGGUCUCCUCCUAAAGAGUAACGGAGGAGCACGAAGGUUGGCUAAUCCUGGUCGGACAUCAGGAGGUUAGUGCAAUGGCAUAAGCCAGCUUGACUGCGAGCGUGACGGCGCGAGCAGGUGCGAAAGCAGGUCAUAGUGAUCCGGUGGUUCUGAAUGGAAGGGCCAUCGCUCAACGGAUAAAAGGUACUCCGGGGAUAACAGGCUGAUACCGCCCAAGAGUUCAUAUCGACGGCGGUGUUUGGCACCUCGAUGUCGGCUCAUCACAUCCUGGGGCUGAAGUAGGUCCCAAGGGUAUGGCUGUUCGCCAUUUAAAGUGGUACGCGAGCUGGGUUUAGAACGUCGUGAGACAGUUCGGUCCCUAUCUGCCGUGGGCGCUGGAGAACUGAGGGGGGCUGCUCCUAGUACGAGAGGACCGGAGUGGACGCAUCACUGGUGUUCGGGUUGUCAUGCCAAUGGCACUGCCCGGUAGCUAAAUGCGGAAGAGAUAAGUGCUGAAAGCAUCUAAGCACGAAACUUGCCCCGAGAUGAGUUCUCCCUGACCCUUUAAGGGUCCUGAAGGAACGUUGAAGACGACGACGUUGAUAGGCCGGGUGUGUAAGCGCAGCGAUGCGUUGAGCUAACCGGUACUAAUGAACCGUGAGGCUUAACCUU